rnacentral:rRNA from 1 species
CCCCCAAGAGUCCACAUCGACGGGGAGGUUUGGCACCUCGAUGUCGACUCAUCACAUCCUCGGGCUGUAGUAGGUCCCAAGGGUUGGGCUGUUCGCCCCUUAAAGUGGUACGCGAGCUGGGUUCAGAACGUCGUGAGACAGUUAGGUCCCUAUCCGUCGCAGGCGUAGGACAUUUGAGAAGACCUGUCCUUAGUACGAGAGGACCGGGAUGGACGUACCUCUGGUGUACCAGUUGUCCUGCCAAGGGCAUGGCUGGGUAGCUAUGUACGGAAUGGAUAAGCGCUGAAAGCAUCUAAGCGCGAAGCCAACUUCAAGAUAAGAUUUCCCACCGCAAGGGUAAGACCCCAGAAAGACUAUCUGGUUGAUAGGUCGAAGGUGUAAGUGCAGCAAUGUAUUUAGCUUAUCGAUACUAAUAGGUCGAGGACUUGACCAAU